rnacentral:rRNA from 1 species
UGGGGAAUAUUGCACAAUGGGCGCAAGCCUGAUGCAGCCAUGCCGCGUGUCUGAAGAAGGCCUUCGGGUUGUAAAGUACUUUCAGCGGGGAGGAAGGGAGUAAAGUUAAUACCUUUGCUCAUUGACGUUACCCGCAGAAGAAGCACCGGCUAACUCCGUGCCAGCAGCCGCGGUAAUACGGAGGGUGCAAGCGUUAAUCGGAAUUACUGGGCGUAAAGCGCACGCAGGCGGUUUGUUAAGUCAGAUGUGAAAUCCCCGGGCUCAACCUGGGAACUGCAUCUGAUACUGGCAAGCUUGAGUCUCGUAGAGGGGGGUAGAAUUCCAGGUGUAGCGGUGAAAUGCGUAGAGAUCUGGAGGAAUACCGGUGGCGAAGGCGGCCCCCUGGACAAAGACUGACGCUCAGGUGCGAAAGCGUGGGGAGCAAACAGG